CUGGCGCUCCACACAGGCACGUUGGCUCAGAUUCACGCCACGACUGCAAAAAUAACUUGGAAAUGCUGAACUAUAGCGCCUUGUUUUGGUCAUCACAAAACUCCAUACAAUGUGAAAUUAUGAGCAAAAUAUCAAAUGAGGAUUUCCUGAGAAAAACGUUUGGUGUGAUUCCUCUGGAGAUGUCAACUCUGCUGCUGCUACUACUACUGAAUUGUGAAUUAGCCUGUAUUCUUCUUAAGCCUUGCAUCCUAUGUGUCUUGCCUCUUCAAAUCUACUGCCUCUUCAAAUCCACCUCUGGUGGAUGA
rnacentral:lncRNA from 1 species